UAAUACAGAGGGUGCGAGCGUUAAUCGGAAUUACUGGGCGUAAAGGGUGCGUAGGUGGUUGAAUAAGUUAGGUGUGAAAUUCCUGGGCUUAACCUGGGGACUGCGCCUAAUACUGUUUAGCUAGAGUAUUGUAGAGGAAAGUGGAAUUUCCGGUGUAGCGGUGAAAUGCGUAGAUAUCGGAAGGAACAUCAGUGGCGAAGGCGACUUUCUGGACAAAUACUGACACUGAGGCACGAAAGCAUGGGGAGCAAACAGG
rnacentral:rRNA from 1 species